rnacentral:misc_RNA from 1 species
GUGGGAGGGGGCUUGCUCCCGAUGGCUGAGUGCCAGUCGACACCUGCGUGGCUGACGCAUUGCUAUCGGGAGCAAGCCCCCUCCCAC